AUAGUCGGGUCCACACAGAACGAGCAUACGCGCGAGGCAAUUUCCUCGCGAACAAACCGGCCAGUGUAGACGUGCCUCGGCCGAGGCGCGCGUGUUGAAAUUGCCUCGCGGGUAUGCUCGCUCUGUGUGGACCCGGCUGAUGA